GACGAACGCUGGCGGCGUGCCUAAUACAUGCAAGUCGAGCGAAGUUUUUCUGGUGCUUGCACUAGAAAAACUUAGCGGCGAACGGGUGAGUAACACGUAAAGAACCUGCCUCAUAGACUGGGACAACUAUUGGAAACGAUAGCUAAUACCGGAUAACAGUAUUUCUCGCAUGAGAGAUAUUUAAAAGUUGGUUAUGCUAACACUAUGAGAUGGCUUUGCGGUGCAUUAGCUAGUUGGUGGGGUAAAGGCCCACCAAGGCGACGAUGCAUAGCCGACCUGAGAGGGUGAUCGGCCACACUGGGACUGAGACACGGCCCAGACUCCUACGGGAGGCAGCAGUAGGGAAUCUUCCGCAAUGGGCGAAAGCCUGACGGAGCAACGCCGCGUGAGUGAAGAAGGAUUUCGGUUCGUAAAGCUCUGUUGUUAGGGAAGAAUGGAUAUGUAGUAACUACACAUGUAAGAGACGGUACCUAACCAGAAAGCCACGGCUAACUACGUG
rnacentral:rRNA from 1 species